rnacentral:rRNA from 1 species
UACGAAGGGGGCUAGCGUUGUUCGGAAUCACUGGGCGUAAAGGGCGCGUAGGCGGCUUUAUAAGUCGGGGGUGAAAGCCUGUGGCUCAACCACAGAAUUGCCUUCGAUACUGUAUGGCUUGAGACCGGAAGAGGUAAGUGGAACUGCGAGUGUAGAGGUGAAAUUCGUAGAUAUUCGGAAGAACACCAGUGGCGAAGGCGGCUUACUGGUCCGGUUCUGACGCUGAGGCGCGAAAGCGUGGGGAGCAAACAGG